ensembl:lncRNA
GGACGCUAUUAACUAACGUAAGGCCAUCGUGGCAGCGCUGCAUCCCACCACGGCGGAUGACCACACGGUCACCAGGAGAAGGCUCAGGAGUCAUUGCAGACGGUUUGCUCAUUUCACGGAGGAGGGCAGAGAGAUGGCACUCUACCGCCUAUCUUCGGUAUCCCGGGGAAGCGCUAAGUGUCCGAAACGGAGGAGACAUAAUAUUUGUCUUUUCUUUAUUUCUUUACUUUUUAUUGGUUUGUUUGAAGGGAAGAGCAGAAAAUAAAAUUGAUAAUAAUG